CACUUGUUGACUACUUGCUGAACAUUUUCUAUGCAUUAUCUCAUGAAUCUUCCCUUUGAUGUAUCUGCUAUUAUUGUUCCUAUUUACAAGUAAGGAAAUCUGAGGUCAUACAAUAAUACUUGGUGAUUCUGGAGAAGUUAGUUAGCUCUAAAGCAAAUAUUUGAAAAGCAAAAAGGAACUUUGACAAAAUUGCAGGUGGAUAAAAAUAUUAAAUAUAGAAUUUAUAUUAUAAAAUUUGGGUCUGAAUCUGGAUAGGGAAGCUUAGAAGUAAUGGGAAAAAACCACAAAGAAAAGAUUAGUACGGCUCUGUUCGCCGCCCUGCGCCCCAGCCUGCUAGCGUCCGCCGCGCCUCUUGGCCCAGACUUCAGUAGACCUCACCAAAAUGCCAUCUCAGAUGGAGCACACCAUGGAAACCAUGAUGUUCACAUUUCACAAAUUUGCCGGGGUUAAAGGCCACUUAACAAAGGAGGACCUCAGAGUGCUCAUGGAGAAGGAGUUCCUGGGAUUUUUGGAAAAUCAAAAAGACCCUCUGGCCUUAGACAAAAUAAUGAAGGACCUGGACCAGUGCCGAGAUGGCAAAGUGGGCUCCCAGAGCUUCCUUUCCCUAAUUGCGGGCCUCACCAUCGCAGGCAACAACUACUUUGUAGCACACAUGAAGCAGAAGGGCAAGAAGUAGGCAGAACCGAGCAAUUACUCUGCCCUGAAAAGUGUUCUCUCAAAGGAUUGCUUCAGACAUCUGCCCCACAGCUUCUCCCUGGAUAA